CCUACGGGGGGCUGCAGUCGAGAAUCAUUCACAAUGGGGGAAACCCUGAUGGUGCGACGCCGCGUGGGGGAAUGAAGGUCUUCGGAUUGUAAACCCCUGUCAUGUGGGAGCAAAUUAAAAAGAUAGUACCACAAGAGGAAGAGACGGCUAACUCUGUGCCAGCAGCCGCGGUAAUACAGAGGUCUCAAGCGUUGUUCGGAAUCACUGGGCGUAAAGCGUGCGUAGGCUGUUUCGUAAGUCGUGUGUGAAAGGCGCGGGCUCAACCCGCGGACGGCACAUGAUACUGCGAGACUAGAGUAAGGGAGGGGGAACCGGAAGUCUCGGUGUAGCAGUGAAAUGCGUAGAUAUCGAGAGGAACACUCGUGGCGAAGGCGGGUUCCUGGACAUUAACUGACGCUGAGGCACGAAGGCCAGGGGAGCGAAAGGGAUUAGAUACCCGGGUAGUC
rnacentral:rRNA from 1 species